rnacentral:rRNA from 1 species
AGAGUUUGAUCCUGGCUCAGGACGAACGCUGGCGGCGUGCCUAACACAUGCAAGUCGAGCGGGGACACGGGGCUUCGGUCCUGUGUUCUAGCGGCGGACGGGUGAGUAACGCGUGAGCAAUCUGUCCCAGACAGGGGGAUAACAACUGGAAACAGUUGCUAAUACCGCAUAAGACCACGGCCUCGCAUGGGGCUGGGGUAAAAGUGGAAACACGGUUUGGGGUGAGUUCGCGUCCCAUUAGCUAGUUGGUGAGGUAACGGCCCACCAAGGCGACGAUGGGUAGCCGACCUGAGAGGGUGAUCGGCCACAUUGGGACUGAGACGCGGCCCAAACUCCUACGGGAGGCAGCAGUGGGGAAUAUUGCACAAUGGGCGAAAGCCUGAUGCAGCAACGCCGCGUGAAGGAUGAAGGGUUUCGGCUCGUAAACUUCUAUCAAUAGGGAAGAAAGAAAUGACGGUACCUAAAUAAGAAGCCCCGG